ACCCUAAGGCUGAGAUUCUGCACAAAAGCUUUGUCUCUCCUGCACACGGGCACCCUAAGGCUGAGCAGCACUCUCUGCCGGGUGACUGCGCCAGCGCCCAGACCACCUGCUGGAGAAAGAAAGCAUGGCACGUUGAAGGCAAGCAUUUGUACUUUGCUCUUUCCUCACAGUUAGACCAGGCUCCCCUCCUCUCCCGCUUGUCCUCAGAGGCCUUGGUGAGAAAAUGGAGGCUCAGGAAACAGGGUCAUCCAGCCAGUGACCAGUUCAGAUUAGCAAGCAGGUCUCCUGUCCUCCCUGCCACAGCCACAGUUGGAAUCACGGAUCUCAGUUAAAGCCAUCUGGCCCCAAGCACGUGGGCAGCUGGUCAUGGGGUGAAAUGGGAAAUGCCCUAACCUCCCCUUACAAGAGUCUGUGGAAGCAGAGUCCCAGCCUCAGGAACAGAAUCAUUAAAUCCUGCUCAUUUUAAGGGCAGAGGCAGAGAGGGAAGGAAGGCUCUGUCCCUCCUCAUCCACCCAAGACUGGGAUUCUGGGUAGCACUGACUCAGAAGAGGCUUGGAGACCCCCAAGAGCAGGCCCCCGCACUUGCUGGUGGCUGAUUCCCAGCCUGUGGGCAUGGAUUUGGGAGGAAUUACACUGUGCAAAUGAACACGGUUUUUGCAGACUUGUGGGACCUGCCAGCUCUCUCAGUUUAACUAGAUCUCUGCAGUGACACCCAGGCAUGUUCCGCAUUAAAUCAGAGCUGGUAAUUUCAGAGGGAAACAGCUCUGAAAUGGCAUGAAAGACAAAAAUCUGUUCCUUGCAAAAUGACACCAUAUGUGCCUGCAUUGCUGCAGUUAGGGUAAAAGGCUUUUCCUCCCUCGGUGACUCAUCAAGCUGCCGAUGUUAAUGUCAGAUUUGCAACAGAACCAUAUACUAAUGGAACCCAAAUUAGCUCUAAAAUUAGCUCUUAACAAGAAACUCAAGGCCAGCUCAAGGCAAGCAGAUUUCUCUGACUGUGAGAGACAGAAAGCACUUUAGCAAAGCAGCCACAUAUUGAUAUUCUCAAGCUUCAAAAAAGAUCACUCUUUGCUCCGGGUGAAUUGCCCAGGAAGAAUUGUGCACAGCCUGCUGUCUGCCUAUGCGUCAAGAAUGUAGCAGCCAACCUGCAGUUGUAAGGAAACCUUCCACAAAACAAAGAAGCUAUUGAGAGCUUAGAGUGUGAGUGAGAGAGAGAAGGACUCGGGGGAUUGGAUCUGGGUGGGGAACGGGGUCCUGGGAGCGGCGGUGUUCAGAUUUACAGUAUGUUCCAGCAUCACUGUUUAUCUAACACCUUUAGAGAGCCCAAGGAUUACGGAGAAAUCAGUUAUGGCAAAUAUCUACAUGGAUAAACGAUAUUUAGCAGCUGAAAUGGAUUAUUGUGAGUUCUCUUCCACCAUCCUUAAAAAUUAUGAACUGAUUUUUUUUUGUUUUUUGACAUGGAGUCUUGCUGUGUCGCCCAGGCUGCAGUGCAGUGGUGUGAUCUCGGCUCACUGCAGCCUCCACCUCCCGGGUUCCAGCGAUUCUCCUGCCUCAGCCUCCCAAGUAACUGGGAUUACAGGUGCCCAUCACCACGCCUGGCUAACUUUUGUAUUUUUAGUAGACAUGGGUUUUCACUAUGUUGCCCAGGCUGGUCUGGAAUUCCUGACCUCAGGUGAUCCACCCGCCUCGGCCUCCCAAAGUCCUGGAAUCACAGGUGUGAGCCAUCGUGCCUGGCCCCUAACUGAAAAAUUUGUUAAAGAGUGUCCUUUCAGUAGCACGUUUCUAAGAUAUUCACAGAGCAGCAGACUCUAUUAACAGGUCUCAGUCUACCCAAGUUUUUGCUGCUCCUGACGGCUCGGCAAGCCCCUCAAGGGCCCCGGCGGGAAUUUGGAAGUCAAUGAGUCAGCACUGUGAAGGCCACUUUGUUUUUGGAGUUUACUCCAGGGUUUGUGGACCAAGGCUGAGAAGGGGCGGAGGGUGUAGGAGGUAGGAUGGGUGAUUAGAGCCACUGAAACCUACCCAAGAGGGAAAAAAGGAUUAAGAAAAUAAAGAUGCAGCUGGGGAGUAGGAGGAGGAAGAUGGCAUUAGUUUAGGGGCAGCUGGCUUGAAUUAGGCACCUCCCAUCGGGAAAAAUGCAUCCAACUCUUGUGGAUGAAACAUUGACAUUCCCUUGCACUCAAGGAAGCAGCGCACUCCUGUUUGGCUAAGGAGUACCUCUGAACCUGACGUUUUGGGGCAUGUGAGUUCCAUUUAGUUUCACACUCUCACCACUGAGCAUUUUUGGUUGGGCAUUGGGGUUGGCUGCACUGAAUAAGCCCUCCUCUCAGUCUACUGGGAUGAUAAAAUAGGUACAGAGAUAACCGAAAUAUAAGCUAGUGGGGAGGAGUGCUCUGAGGAAGGACCCAAGAAACUGCUCUGGGGCUACAGAUGAAGGAGAGAUCAGUUUUAUGUUGCAUCAGGAGGAGUCCUCACGGAAGAGGUGGCAUCUGAACAGGGCCUGGAAGGAUGAGUAGCAAUAAGUUAUGGGACCUUUAGACCAGUGGAGAUCAUUAACCCAACAUACAAACAAGUCCCUCUGGGACUCAAUCCAUUCUGGCCAUGACUCAAAGCCAGGCUGAGCUUUCCUCUCCAGCUGGCUCCCUUCUCUUGAAGUGUGCUAGAGAAGAGGCAGUGAAGCAACAAGACACAGGGCAAGGACAAGUCUGGCAACCCAGGGUUGCUCUGGAUGAAGGUGAGAACAGGGGAGCAGAGACAGCGUGUCCUUAGACAAAGUCCUGGGUGGAAACGAACACUGAGCCUGCCAAUGCAAACAGCAGCAGCAGCAGCCACCGAUGGCUCAUGACUGUGCCUUCCCAGAGCGACUGAAACCUGCCUGUGAUUCCUCUGUUGCCUCUUCCUUCUGUCCCUAGGCUUCAACCUGGCAAUUAACCCCUUCAUUUAGGGGCAAAGAGAAGUCAAACUUAAUCAGUUUUCUGACAGCUCUGAUACUGAAUUACAACAGAUUACUUAGAAAGAUAAGAAGUCGAGAUAUUUAUUUGCAUAGUUGACUCCUACAAAAUGAUAGUUUUUUGGACUUUGCAAUCACACACGAAGAGUUUCUAGGAUUACUAUGGGGUGUGAUUCAGUUUCAGGGUUGCAGUUGAACCAUUGCUGACAAAUGGCACCCCUUCAUUAAGACCCAUUUGUCUCCCACUCUGUCCCUCCCGCUGGGUAACUGUGGAACAACAGAAACUCUAAGCCUGGAUGAAGAGAUGUUGGUUAAUGGGUGCAAACAUGCAGCUAGGUAGAAGGAAUAGGCUCUAUAGUUCAGUAGCAUAGUAGGUGACUAACAAUAACUUAUUACACAUUCCAAAAUAGCCAGAAGAAUUGGAAUGUUCCUAACACAAGGAAAUGAUAAAUGGUUGAGGUGAUGGCUAUCCCACUUACCCUGAUUUGAUCAUUACACAUUGCAUGCAUGUAUCAAAAUAUCACAGGUACCUCAUAAAUAUGUACAACUAUUAUGUAUCAAUUAAAAAUUAUCUAAAAAUAAAAUUCACCAUUUUAACUAUUUUUAAAAACCUCUGUUUGUGAAGAAAAAUGAUGGUGUUGUGGAAAAAGCUCUAGCUUGCAUUGUAAUCCAAGCUCAGCAUGAAAAAUUGCUGUGUAUCUGACUGAUUCAUUUAAUUUCUUUGCAUUUACCCUCUUGGGCAAUGAAAUGAAAUGGUGUGUAUAAAUGCGCUCUGUGAAAGAUACAGUACUAUACAAGUGCUAGUUGUUAGUAAUGAUAUAUGUACCGCCUCACAGGGCUGUUAUGAGUCUUCUUUAAGAGUGCUCUUCCAAAGAAAGU
rnacentral:lncRNA from 10 species